AACAUACUCCCUCCGUCCGGAAUUACUUGUCAUCAAAAUGGAUGUAUCUAGAACUAAAAUACAUCUAGAUACAUCCAUUUCAAUGACAAGUAUUUCCGGACGGAGGGAGUAACAG
rnacentral:pre_miRNA from 1 species